rnacentral:snRNA from 1 species
UUGCUUCAGCAUCAAAUAUAUUAAAAUUGCAAUGAUACAGGAAAGAUUAGCAUGGCCCCAGCCCAAGGAUGACACAUGAAUUUGUGAAGUGUUCCAUAUUUGG